rnacentral:rRNA from 1 species
UACGUAGGGUGCAAGCGUUAAUCGGAAUUACUGGGCGUAAAGCGUGCGCAGGUGGUUUUGUAAGACAGGCGUGAAAUCCCCGGGCUUAACCUGGGAAUUGCGUUUGUGACUGCAGAGCUAGAGUUUGGCAGAGGGGGAUGGAAUUCCAUGUGUAGCAGUGAAAUGCGUAGAUAUAUGGAGGAACACCAAUGGCGAAGGCAAUCCUCUGGGUCAACACUGACACUCAUGUACGAAAGCGUGGGGAGCAAACAGG